UACGAAGGGGGCUAGCGUUGUUCGGAAUCACUGGGCGUAAAGGGCGCGUAGGCGGCUUUAUAAGUCGGGGGUGAGAGCCUGUGGCUCAACCACAGAAUUGCCUUCGAUACUGUAGAGCUUGAGACCGGAAGAGGUAAGUGGAACUGCGAGUGUAGAGGUGAAAUUCGUAGAUAUUCGCAAGAACACCAGUGGCGAAGGCGGCUUACUGGUCCGGUUCUGACGCUGAGGCGCGAAAGCGUGGGGAGCAAACAGG
rnacentral:rRNA from 1 species